AUUUAAUAUUAAAGGGCUGCAGUAUAUUGACUGUACAAAGGUAGCAUAAUCAUUAGUCAUUUAAUUGAUGACUUGUAUGAAAGAUUGGAUGAAAUAUUAGCUGUCUCUUAAUUAGAAAUAGAAUUUAAUUUUUUAAUUAAAAAGUUAAAAUAGUUUAAAAAGACGAGAAGACCCUAUAGAGUUUUAUAAAUAAAUUAAUUGAGGUUAUUUAUAUUUAAUAAAAUUAAAAUUAGUUUAAUUAUUGUGUUGGGGUGAUAGAAAAAUAUAUUUAACUUUUUUUAUAUUUAAAACAUUUAUAAGUGGUUAAAUGAUCCAAUAUUAUUGAUUAUAAGAAAAAAUUACCUUAGGGAUAACAGCGUAAUUUUUUUUUUUAGUUCACAUAAGAAAAAGAGUUUGCGACCUCGAUGUUGGAUUAAGAUAAAAUUUAAAUGCAGAAG
rnacentral:rRNA from 1 species